GGCGCCCCCCCAUCCCCCAGCGCGAGGACGGGCUGGAGACUAACCGCUCCAGCCCCCACCUCUCCGGCCUGACCUCGAGCCAGUAUCCUGGCGGCAAGGGCCAGCUCCCCACCCUUCCCAUCUGAUGACUCUGGGCAGGCUGCAGGCAGAGCAUGGAUACAAUCAGCGGGGACCCCCAGAAAGCCCUCCGGCCUGCUUCCCCUCUCACCCCUGGGACCUCAUCCCCUCCCCCGGCUGGAAAGCAGAACGGCUGAGCCUGACCUCGAUUUGGGAAGAGCCUGUGUCUCUGUGGGAGGAGGAAGCUCAGAGGGCAGGUGCUGCAGCAUGGCCUGGAAUUCCGAGUCGUAUCGCCGGUUGAUGUCAUCCCCAAUGAUGGCGAGCUGGCGGCCUACCUGCCCCAUGGUGCUGGAGGAAGGCCUGUGAGCCGCAAACCCUCCUGAGUGCCUGUGGUAAACUUCCAGCACGUACAGAGGAGUCCUCCCCAGGGUGCCGGACACAGAGCAAAUUGACCUAGCCACAGGGUAAGCACGGUCAUACCCACUUUCCAGGUGGGAAGAAUGAGGCACAGAGAAGUCAGUGCCAAGGCCACGUGCUAGUCCAGGAGUCCGGUUGGUUGUCUGAGCUUCCAGGAGCCCAUCCUCCACUCAACACUCGUUUCGGAACCCCCUGAGCAAGGCCAGGGAUCGAACCCGUGUCCUGACGGAUAGUAGUCGGGUUCAUUAACCGCUAAACCAUGACGGGAACUCCUCGGAUUUAUUUCCCAGUUUAUGGACCUCAGAGAGUGUCCUUUCCAAGGCAGCUUCCCCGUUUGCCUGUGCUCUUCCCACUCCCUUCUCACGGGGAGUUGAGAAAACUACAUGCACCCCUUGCCCUUGGGUCUCCAGCCCCUACUCUCCUUUUUCACCCAGUUCUGGCUGCUGCCUGGGCUGCUCUGUAAACCCUCUGCAGAGGGAGUAUUUCCUGGACAUGAGCUGUUUCACUUUCAGUUUGCACCCCUUCACUUCCCUCCACCCCAAAGCUGCCUCCAUCACCCAGGCAGAGGUCCCUCCUCCCGCCCCAGGGAGGCCCCUCCCUACCCUGGGCCAGCUCCCUGGGAGGACCAGUCAGUGCACCCUCCCCGCCCACCCCUCCCUCUCAGGCCUGGGGCUACUUUCGAAAGCAGCAGAAAGAAGGGUGGGGACGGUCCGGACCACCUGUGCCUCCCCUCCUCCACCCAGUGCCACCUGGGGAAGACCGACCUUGGCCUGGCAUGCACCCAUCCCAGCAGCCUCCUCCUGAACAAGGUGCCCUUCUGGCUCCCUUGGUGCCCCCAGGACUGCAGGGCUGGAGGAUGCUGACAGCACCCCUGCCACCCUCGGGCUCAGAGCUGGGGAGAAGUUGGCGCCUCAGAGCAGCCCCAAGGCCCCAGGCCUUGCUGAUCUGGGUCUACCCCUGCCCCCUCCAAGCACCUGACUUCCUGGUACUCUGAGUUCCCCACUUGUGGGGUCUGCCCAGGGGAGGAGGGUGGCCAGGAUGCUUCCCCAGGGGAGGUGCCUGACUCUAGACCGCUCUUAGGUCUCCUGGGGCAGCAGGGAGGCUGUAAGUUCUCCCCGUGCCCUUGACCUUGGCUCUGACCUCCCCCCCCAUCCCCCAGACUGCUAAAGAGCCUGGUUCUUUGACACCCGAUUCUCGGGCCCCUAGGGCCAGGGUGAGAGGGGAAGCUGCCUGAGGGGUGGCCAGAGGGAGCCCCGGGUGGAUCAGGCCCCGAACAGGGCUCGGUGGAGUCCCGGGGGUUGGGGGGAGCCUGAGGCCUUCCCCCCCCAGCCCCCUGCCUCCCUCACCUACCCCCGGCCCGGAGCUCCCAGGCGUGGGGAGCACAGGCGGGACCCUCCCGGCUUACCUGCCCAGACCCUGGCCCAGGCCUGGGUUGGCUCAGCAGGGCGGAGGCCGGUGAUCCCAGUGGCCAGUGGCCACUCCCAGGGUAAGGUACCCAGGCUCGGCCUCCAGAGACGGGCGCCAGUGAGUUCCUGGUGUCAGGAUGCAGCCUGGGCUGGUCCCAGCGCGGCCUUCGGGACCCGCGAGGCUUUGGCGAUCAUAGAGGUGCCGGCGGCUCCCGCUCCAAUCAGCUCCCUCUAGAGGAAGUUGCUCUGCGGCCGCCGGAUGCAGCCGCUGAAGCCUGCAGCACGGGGCUGGGGCUGGGCUCAGGGCGGAGAGCGCGGCUCCCACCCCUGCCGAGUGUCCCCACCCACGGCUUUUCCCACCCGGGUUCCCUGUCCUCCUCCUUGAUCUUGCCCCACUUCUGUCCGUCGGUAUCAGCAAGAAAGCCAGGCUGGUGAGGUUUGUGAAGCCCUGCUGUGUGCUGGGCACUUUAUUUUUUUAUUUUUUUUUAUUUUUUUUUCGUCUUUUUGCUAUUUCUUGGGCCGCUCCCACGGCAU